rnacentral:rRNA from 1 species
UACGUAGGGGGCGAGCGUUGUCCGGAUUUACUGGGCGUAAAGCGCGUGUAGGCGGCUUCUUAAGUCGGGUGUGAAAGCCCGGGGCUCAACCCCGGGAUGCCGCCCGAGACUGGGAGGCUUGAGGUCGGAAGAGGGGAGUGGAAUUCCAGGUGUAGCGGUGAAAUGCGUAGAGAUCAGGAGGAAUACCGGUGGCGAAGGCGGCCUUCUGGACGGUGACUGACGCUGAGACGCGAAAGCGUGGGGAGCAAACAGG